CCUACGGGUGGCAGCAGUGGGGAAUAUUGGUCAAUGGGCGCGAGCCUGAACCAGCCAAGUAGCGUGAAGGAUGACUGCCCUACGGAUUGUAAACUUCUUUUAUAAAGGAAUAAAGUGAGGCACGUGUGCCUUUUUGUAUGUACUUUAUGAAUAAGGAUCGGCUAACUCCGUGCCAGCAGCCGCGGUAAUACGGAGGAUCCGAGCGUUAUCCGGAUUUAUUGGGUUUAAAGGGAGCGUAGAUGGGUUGUUAAGUCAGUUGUGAAAGUUUGCGGCUCAACCGUAAAAUUGCAAUUGAUACUGGCAGUCUUGAGUACAGUUGAGGUAGGCGGAAUUCGUGGUGUAGCGGUGAAAUGCUUAGAUAUCGCGAAGAACACCGAUUGCGAAGGCAGCUUCCUAGACUGCCACUGACAUUGAUGCUCGAAAGUGUGGGUAGCAAACAGGAUUAGAUACCCCAGUAGUC
rnacentral:rRNA from 1 species